UGGUUAAAUUAAUAAGGGCACAUGGUGAAUGCCUUGGCAAUAGAAGUCGAUGAAGGACGUGGUUAACUACGAUAUGCCUCGGGGAGCUGUACACAAGCUUUGAUCCGGGGAUCUCCGAAUGAGGAAACUCACUUGCAGUAAUAUGCAAGUACCCUAGAGUGAAUAAAUAGCUCUAGAGGAGGCAACUCUGGGAAUUGAAACAUCUUAGUACCAGAAGGAAGAGAAAGAAAAAUCGAUUACCUUAGUAGUGGCGAGCGAAAAGGUAACAGCCUAAACCAGUCUUAGGACUGGGGUUGUAGGACACUAAGCACGGAGUUACAAAAUUACUUGGUAGCAGAACAGUCUGGAAAGACUGACAAGAUAGGGUGAUAGUCCCGUAUGCGAAACCUAGUAAUCUCCUUAGUGUAUCCUGAGUACGGCGAGACACGUGAAAUCUUGUUGGAAUCCGCGGGGACCAUCCCGCAAGGCUAAAUACUCUCUAUUGACCGAUAGUGAACAAGUACCGUGAGGGAAAGGUGAAAAGAACCCCGGAAGGGGAGUGAAAUAGAAUACUGAAACCAUGUUGCUUACAAGAAGUUCGAGCCCGUUAAUGGGUGAGAGCGUGCCUUUUGCAGAAUGAGCCGGCGAGUUAUGAUAUAGUGCAAGGUUAAGCGGAAUACGCGGAGCCAAAGCGAAAGCGAGUCUUAAUAGGGCGUUUUAGUACUAUGUUGUAGACCCGAAACCGAGUGAUCUAGCCAUGAGCAGGUUGAAGUAAGGGUGAUACCUUAUGGAGGACCGAACCAUUAGACGUUGUAAAGUCUUUGGAUGACUUGUGGUUAGCGGUGAAAUUCCAAUCGAACUCGGAGAUAGCUGGUUCUCCCCGAAAUAGGUUUAGGCCUAGCCUUUUACGAUGCUACUUGGAGGUAGAGCACUGAAUGUGGAAUGGCCCCGUCUUGGGGUACUGACCACAAUUAAACUCCGAAUGCCAAGUAUGUUAGUAAGGGAGUCAGUGUAUGGGUGAUAAGUCCAUGCGCGAGAGAAAAAGAAUUCAGACCGUCAGAUAAGGUCCCAAAAUAUAUGUUAAGUGAUGAAGGAUGUAGGAUCGCACGAACAGCUAGGAGGUUGGCUUAGAAGCAGCUACCCUUUAAAGAGUGCGUAAUAGCUCACUAGUCGAGUGGUCCUGCGCCGAAGAUGUACCGGGGCUAAACAUAUUACCGAAGCUGCGGAUUUAUACUUUUAGUAUAAGUGGUAGGGGAGCGUUCUAACUGCACUGAAGAUAGACCGUGAGGACUAUUGGAGCGCUUAGAAGUGAGAAUGCCGGCGUGAGUAACGUAAGGAAGGUGAGAAUCCUUCCCACCGAUUGACCAAGGUUUCCAGGGUAAAGUUCGUCUUCCCUGGGUUAGUCAGGACCUAAGGCGAGGCCGAAAGGCGUAGUCGAUGGACGACAGGUUAAUAUUCCUGUACUAUGUAUAUGACUGAUGGAGUGACGGAGAAAGCUAAGAAGGGCCAAUUAUUGGAUUUUGGUCUAAGCGAUUAGGUUGAUGCGCUAGAAAAUCUGCGACAUCGUUAAAACUGAAACGUGAUGGCGAAAGUUCCUACGGGAACUGAAGUCUUCUGACGCUACGCUUCCAAGAAAAACUUCUAAAGAUAUCAUAUAUGUACCUGUACCUCAGAACCAACACAGGUGGUCAAGAAGAGAAUUCUAAGGUGAGCGAGAGAACUAUGGUUAAGGAACUCGGCAAAAUUACCCCGUAACUUCGGAAUAAGGGGAGGUUUCCUAUGGAAACCCGCAGUGAAUAUUCCCAGGCAACUGUUUAUCAAAAACACAGGUCUCUGCUAAAGCGUAAGCUGAUGUAUAGGGGCUGACGCCUGCCCAGUGCCGGAAGGUUAAGAUGAUUUGUUAGCUGGACGAAAGUCGAUAACAGCGAAGCAAUGAGUUGAAGCCCCGGUGAACGGCGGCCGUAACUAUAACGGUCCUAAGGU
rnacentral:rRNA from 1 species